UACGGGGGGGGCAAGCGUUGUUCGGAAUUACUGGGCGUAAAGGGCGCGUAGGCGGCCUUCUAAGUCGGACGUGAAAUCCCUCGGCUUAACCGAGGAACUGCGUCCGAUACUGAAAGGCUUGAAUCCGGGAGAGGGAUGUGGAAUUCCAGGUGUAGCGGUGAAAUGCGUAGAUAUCUGGAGGAACGCCCGUGGCGAAAGCGAGGUCCUGGACGUUUUCUGACGCUGAGACGCGAAAGCCAGGGGAGCGAACGGG
rnacentral:rRNA from 1 species